GUGUGCGUGUGUGUGUGUGUGUGUGUGUGUGUGUGUGUGUGUGUGUGUGUGUGUGUGUGUGUGUGUGUGUGUGGUGUGUGUGUGAGUGACUCAGUGUGAGUGUGUGUGUAGCAGUCGUGCAUCUGUGUGUACGAGAAACUGUUGUAUUUCUCUUUUACCGUUGCCACGGCAUUUAUCUUCACCAAAUUCAAAGCACAUGUAACGUUCUGUCCGAUCAGCCAAUCAGGAGCCUUCUUACCUCUCAUUAGUGACUGUAACGCCCACUUUUAAGUCUUUAACGCUGCUGCCUCAAGUUCUCUAGGAUGCUGUUUUAGUGAUGAGAUUCAUUUUUGGGCAUUUGGAAAUAUGCAAGAACAGAGAUUGUAUUUGUACAGUAUUCGUUUUAUUUCUGGCCAACAGCUGAAGAGGUUUUGAUUGUUAGGACUAUGAGUAUUAGCACAUAUUUAGUUGGAAAUCAAAAUCUCACAUUCCAGCUCCACACUAACAUGAAGAUUUAUGAUAAAUGUGUCUCCUUUUGUGAUUUAAGGACCAUACUGAUGCUUUUUGUACACAAAAUAUACAAUCUGAUAAUCUGAGACAUAAAUAAUUCAGUGAGAAAGUAUCAGAAUCUCCGUCAGUGUUCAUUUAGAAAUGAUUCAAAACAAAACAGAAUCAUUAAAUGAAAGAUUCACUUACAAACAAACUAAAUUUAUGAUUUCAAUCAAUGCAAAAGCAGAAUUCUAAACUUUUUAGAGCUGUUGAUUGUAACUAAAAAUAAUGGAUUUGUACUAGUCAGAUUGCUGUUUAAAACCCAGUUGUUGUGGUUUAGGGAGGUUUGUGCCUGUUUGUGCUGUUUAAAAGUGCUCAGUUAGUCUUUUUGUACCCAGUUUUAAAUCUUGGUGCUUAAAUGUAUCACUGCUUUUGCUGGUCGUUAAACUUCAGAUUUAAUUCGUUUUUCCCUUUAAAGG